AAAUUGAAGAGUUUGAUCAUGGCUCAGAUUGAACGCUGGCGGCAGGCCUAACACAUGCAAGUCGAGCGGUAGCACAGAGAGCUUGCUCUCGGGUGACGAGCGGCGGACGGGUGAGUAAUGUCUGGGAAACUGCCUGAUGGAGGGGGAUAACUACUGGAAACGGUAGCUAAUACCGCAUAACGUCGCAAGACCAAAGUGGGGGACCUUCGGGCCUCAUGCCAUCAGAUGUGCCCAGAUGGGAUUAGCUAGUAGGUGGGGUAACGGCUCACCUAGGCGACGAUCCCUAGCUGGUCUGAGAGGAUGACCAGCCACACUGGAACUGAGACACGGUCCAGACUCCUACGGGAGGCAGCAGUGGGGAAUAUUGCACAAUGGGCGCAAGCCUGAUGCAGCCAUGCCGCGUGUGUGAAGAAGGCCUUCGGGUUGUAAAGCACUUUCAGCGGGGAGGAAGGCGGUGAGGUUAAUAACCUCAUCGAUUGACGUUACCCGCAGAAGAAGCACCGGCUAACUCCGUGCCAGCAGCCGCGGUAAUACGGAGGGUGCAAGCGUUAAUCGGAAUUACUGGGCGUAAAGCGCACGCAGGCGGUCUGUCAAGUCGGAUGUGAAAUCCCCGGGCUCAACCUGGGAACUGCAUUCGAAACUGGCAGGCUAGAGUCUUGUAGAGGGGGGUAGAAUUCCAGGUGUAGCGGUGAAAUGCGUAGAGAUCUGGAGGAAUACCGGUGGCGAAGGCGGCCCCCUGGACAAAGACUGACGCUCAGGUGCGAAAGCGUGGGGAGCAAACAGGAUUAGAUACCCUGGUAGUCCACGCCGUAAACGAUGUCGAUUUGGAGGUUGUGCCCUUGAGGCGUGGCUUCCGGAGCUAACGCGUUAAAUCGACCGCCUGGGGAGUACGGCCGCAAGGUUAAAACUCAAAUGAAUUGACGGGGGCCCGCACAAGCGGUGGAGCAUGUGGUUUAAUUCGAUGCAACGCGAAGAACCUUACCUGGUCUUGACAUCCACAGAACUUUCCAGAGAUGGAUUGGUGCCUUCGGGAACUGUGAGACAGGUGCUGCAUGGCUGUCGUCAGCUCGUGUUGUGAAAUGUUGGGUUAAGUCCCGCAACGAGCGCAACCCUUAUCCUUUGUUGCCAGCGGUCCGGCCGGGAACUCAAAGGAGACUGCCAGUGAUAAACUGGAGGAAGGUGGGGAUGACGUCAAGUCAUCAUGGCCCUUACGACCAGGGCUACACACGUGCUACAAUGGCAUAUACAAAGAGAAGCGACCUCGCGAGAGCAAGCGGACCUCAUAAAAGUAUGUCGUAGUCCGGAUUGAGUCUGCAACUCGACUCCAUGAAGUCGGAAUCGCUAGUAAUCGUAGAUCAGAAUGCUACGGUGAAUACGUUCCCGGGCCUUGUACACACCGCCCGUCACACCAUGGGAGUGGGUUGCAAAAGAAGUAGGUAGCUUAACCUUCGGGAGGGCGCUUACCACUUUGUGAUUCAUGACUGGGGUGAAGUCGUAACAAGGUAACCGUAGGGGAACCUGCGGUUGGAUCACCUCCUUACCUUAAAGAA
rnacentral:rRNA from 1 species